CCUACGGGUGGCAGCAGUGGGGAAUAUUGCACACUGGGGGAAACCCUGAUGCAGCAACGCCGCGUGAGUGAAGAAGUAUUUCGGUAUGUAAAGCUCUAUCAGCAGGGAAGAAGAAAGACGGUACUUGACUAAGAAGCCCCGGCUAACUACGUGCCAGCACCCGCGGUAUUCCGUAGGGGGCAAGCGUUAUCCGAAUUUACUGGGUGUAAAGGGAGUGUAGACGGCUGUGCAAGUCUGAAGUGAAAGCACGUGGCUAAACCGCGGAACUGUUUUGGAAACUGUCUAGCGUGAGUACUGGGGGGGCAGGCGGAAUUCCUAGGGUAGCGGUGAAAUGCGUAGAUAUUAGGAGGAACACCGGUGGCGAAGGCGGCCUGCUGGACAGAAACUGACGUUGAGGCUCGAAAGCGUGGGGAGCAAACAGGAUUAGAUACCCGAGUAGUC
rnacentral:rRNA from 1 species